GACUAAGCGUAUACGGUGGAUGCCUUGGCAGUCAGAGGCGAUGAAGGACGUAGUAACUUGCGAAAAGCGUUGGCGAGCUAGUAACAAGCAUUUGAGCUAACGAUGUCCGAAUGGGGGAACCCAGCAGCAUAAGCUGUUAUCGCAACAUGAAUACAUAGUGUUGCGAGGCGAACGAGGGGAACUGAAACAUCUAAGUACCCUUAGGAAAAGAAAUCAACCGAGAUUCCCCUAGUAGCGGCGAGCGAACGGGGAUUAGCCCUUAAGUCAGUGGGGUGUUAGUGGAAUGUGUUGGAAAGCACAGCGGCACAGGGUGAUAGCCCCGUACAUGAAAACUAACCAUUGAUGAAAACGAGUAAGGCGGGACACGUGACAUCCUGUUUGAAUAUGGGGGGACCAUCCUCCAAGGCUAAAUACUCCUGACUGACCGAUAGUGAACCAGUACCGUGAGGGAAAGGCGAAAAGAACCCCUGUGAGGGGAGUGAAAUAGAACCUGAAACCGUAUACGUACAAGCAGUGGGAGCGGUUCUUGAGACCGUGACUGCGUACCUUUUGUAUAAUGGGUCAGCGACUUACAUUUUGUAGCGAGGUUAAGCGAAUAGCGGAGCCGUAGGGAAACCGAGUGUUAACUGCGCGUUUAGUUGCAAGGUGUAGACCCGAAACCCGGUGAUCUAGCCAUGGGCAGGUUGAAGGUUGAGUAACAUCAACUGGAGGACCGAACCGACUAAUGUUGAAAAAUUAGCGGAUGACUUGUGGCUGGGGGUGAAAGGCCAAUCAAACCGGGAGAUAUCUGGUUCUCCUCGAAAGCUAUUUAGGUAGCGCCUCGAGCGAAUACCAUUGGGGGUAGAGCACUGUUAAGGCUAGGGGGUCAUCCCGACUUACCAACCCUUUGCAAACUCCGAAUACCAAUGAGUACUACUCGGGAGACAGACGGCGGGUGCUAACGUCCGUCGUCAAAAGGGAAACAACCCAGACCGUCAGCUAAGGUCCCAAAGUACUAGCUAAGUGGGAAACGAUGUGGGAAGGCUUAGACAGCUAGGAUGUUGGCUUAGAAGCAGCCAUCAUUUAAAGAAAGCGUAAUAGCUCACUAGUCGAGUCGGCCUGCGCGGAAGAUGUAACGGGGCUAAGCUAGUCACCGAAGCUACGGGUGCACAGUUUACUGUGCGCGGUAGAGGAGCGUUCUGUAAGCCGUUGAAGGUGAAGGGGUAACCCACGCUGGAGGUAUCAGAAGUGCGAAUGCUGACAUGAGUAACGAUAAAGGGGGUGAAAAACCCCCUCGCCGAAAGACCAAGGGUUCCUGUCCAACGUUAAUCGGGGCAGGGUGAGUCGACCCCUAAGGUGAGGCCGAAAGGCGUAAUCGAUGGGAAACAGAUUAAUAUUUCUGUACUUCCGCUAACUGCGAUGGAGAGACGGAGAAGGCUAGGCUAGCGCGGCGUUGGUAGUCCGCGUUUAAGGUGGUAGGUGGUGUUCUUAGGCAAAUCCGGGGACACGUACUUUAAUGUACACACUGAGAGCUGAUGACGAGGUCCUAAGGGACUGAAGUAGUUGAUGCCAUGCUUCCAGGAAAAUCUUCUAAGCUUCAGGUUAG
rnacentral:rRNA from 1 species